rnacentral:rRNA from 1 species
UCCUACGGGAGGCAGCAGUGGGGAAUUUUGCGCAAUGGGGGAAACCCUGACGCAGCAACGCCGCGUGGAGGAUGAAGUCCUUCGGGACGUAAACUCCUUUCGAUCGGGACGAUUAUGACGGUACCGGAAGAAGAAGCCCCGGCUAACUUCGUGCCAGCAGCCGCGGUAAUACGAGGGGGGCGAGCGUUGUUCGGAAUUAUUGGGCGUAAAGGGUGCGUAGGCGGUUUGGUAAGUCUCUUGUGAAAUCUAUGGGCUCAACUCAUAGUCUGCAAGGGAAACUGCCGGGCUUGAGUGUGGGAGAGGUGAGUGGAAUUUCCGGUGUAGCGGUGAAAUGCGUAGAUAUCGGAAGGAACACCUGUGGCGAAAGCGGCUCACUGGACCACAACUGACGCUGAUGCACGAAAGCUAGGGGAGCAAACAGGAUUAGAUACCCUGGUAGC